rnacentral:rRNA from 1 species
AGAGCGAACGCUGGCGGCAGGCCUAACACAUGCAAGUCGAACGGACUCUUCGGAGUUAGUGGCGGACGGGUGAGUAACACGUGGGAACGUGCCUUUAGGUUCGGAAUAGCUCCUGGAAACGGGUGGUAAUACCGAAUGUGCCCUUCGGGGGAAAGAUUUAUCGCCUUUAGAGCGGCCCGCGUCUGAUUAGCUUGUUGGUGAGGUAAUGGCUCACCAAGGCUACGAUCAGUAGCUGGUCUGAGAGGAUGACCAGCCACAUUGGGACUGAGACACGGCCCAAACUCCUCCGGGAGGCAGCAGUGGGGAAUCUUGCGCAAUGGGCGAAAGCCUGACGCAGCCAUGCCGCGUGUAUGAUGAAGGUCUUAGGAUUGUAAAAUACUUUCACCGGUGAAGAUAAUGACUGUAGCCGGAGAAGAAGCCCGGCUAACUCGUGCCAGCAGCCGC